GAACCAUCAUUGUAGACCUGGCUCACCUCAGCACGAACUUUUUCUUGCCAAGAAGGAUUGCUGGCAAGUAGCAUAACUGUCCAACGAUCGGAGCAUCUGUUUAGUACAUUCCACCAUGUACCCUGCGUAGCUCUGCAGAUAAACCAAAAACAAUAUUAAUGCUUAAUAUUAAUGUCCUUUAAAUGAACCACCAUCUUGUGAGGACAUAUGUGUAUAGUGGCGGAUCCAAGAAUUCAGGUAAGCACGAGCGGAUCCAGGUGAGCACAGGCAACAGCUAGAAAGCCACUCGAGCGAUCAUCAAGCAGCCGACCAA